rnacentral:tRNA from 1 species
GGGGAGGUCGCAUAGCCCGGUCGAGUGCGCCCGCCUGCUAAGUGGGUAGGGGUGUUACACAUCCCUCGAGGGUUCAAAUCCCUCCCUCCCCGCCA